ensembl:lncRNA
GCUGCAGUUAAUAGCAGGAGCCUUAUCCUAUCUGGGCUCCUCUCAGUGGGCUGCAGCUUCCUUCAGGGCAUAUCUGUCUACUCCAGUUUGGUCUUUUCCACAGGCUGAGGGAGAAGUCUUGGAUCUGGGGCCUGAUUCACCUCCUCCCCAUCCUUCUUCAUUGACCUUGGAGCCUGCAGAAUAGCAGCCAAUGGGAAUACAACUUAUAUACAACUCAUACACAACUCAUAUACAGCUCACAGCAUCCAAAGGCAUCAUUCAGUGAGGAAAAAAAAAAAAAAAGAUUAUGUGUUCCACUGUGAGAGCUGCUUGGUAACAUGUAGGCAAGUAAGCUAUAAAGAUGUUCUCCAAACAGUUUCAUAGGUUUUGUGUACCAAAAAGGACAGUGAUGAACCUCCAAACCCAUUAAAAAAAUAAUUCUCUCAACUUGAAGUGAUUACUAUUUGGAGUGGACUAUCUGAAUCCACACUGAAGAAUGCUUGGUGCAGAUUUUUCAGCAGGAUAAUGUUUUGACCUUAUAGCCUCAUGACUUAACUCUGUUUGGAAGGGACCUCAAGAGAUCAUUGAGUACAUCAUCCCUGACAAAGCAGUAUUUCAGAACUUGACUCACUUUGGAAGACUGCCAAUAGUGCAAACUUGGAAUGAGGAGAAGAUCCCUCACUGCAAACUUUCAACCCAUGGGUUAAUAGCCAAGAGAGGAAGAUCUCUGUUCAGAGAUUGCCCCUUCUGGAGACUUCGCUGACCUUUGGAAUGGUGAGCUGAUGGCUGUGUGGUUCUUUGAUUCUUUGCUGCCUGCCAGGUUAAUCCACAACAAGGAUUCACAUAGUUGUGGAGGACUAAGGUACUUAAAAUCAGUAAGUAAAUCACAAUGUGGUUAUUUGUGACUGAAAUUCAAAAGACUUUGUAAUGUUUUGAAAAUGACUGACAACCCCUAUAUGUGACAGCUGUUCCAGAAAAGAGACCACAAAACUCUGAAUUAAUAGUGUAUUCAUUUCUAAACCUUGAUUUAUUUUCUGCUUCUUACUCACGUGCAUUAUGUUUCAAAUAUUCAACUAAGUCUAGAAAGGAAGGAAAAAAACCAACAGAUUUGUAAUAGCAAAGCAGAAAAUGUAGUGCAGUACUAGUACCAACAUCAAACAACAAUAUCCUAUUAAAAUACUUCAGAGUAUUGAGUGAAUCUAUUGGUUUUUCAGUGUGUACUACAGAAGGAACCUAUUUGGGGUACAAAAUGAGUUCAGUCUUAGACUUUGCGUACUUAGUAAAGGUUGUAUUUUUGCAGUGUACGGCAUACUAUGUCAGAACAGAACUGGAGGAGUUAUUAAUGAUAUUAACACAGCGUACACAAUAAUUCUUGUUUCAGUUUUGAAAUCUGAAGUUAUUAUAAUUAGCUUAUUAGGACUUCAUAAAGAUUCAGCUGGACUGUAAUCUUACCAAAAUAUACCUUAUCUGCCUUGCAUAUUCUUUCAGUAUGUCUAUGGACCACAGUUAUACAGAAAAUUCAUCACUGAUAUAUUACUAGAGGUUCAUGAGGUUUGUUUCUAUGAGGUGCUGACCUACUUUUCCUUUAUCUCUUAAGGGAUUAAUUUAUUUUUUUAAUCAAACAUUGCUGGAAUGAGCCAUGUAGUCAAAAAUAAAAAAAAUAAAAUGCUGAGUGACAGUUCUCUAGUAUUAAAAUUCUGUAGGCCAUCUCUUUGUUGGUCACAUUUACGGUUUUCAGACAGAAAAUGUUAUCACUUUGUCAGCUUCAGAUGUUGUCAGUUAGUUUGUCAAAUGGCUGAGAUGACAGGCUGUUAUUUUCCACUUGUAAGCAGAGAAGAUGUUGCAAAUACUUCUUCUGUAUCCAGUCAAUACUUUUGCAGUUCUUAAUUAGACUUCUGCAGUGUGCUCACCCUGAGACCAUAUCUACAAGCAAACUACAGAAAAAUGCCAUUAAUUCAUGGAAAAAAAAACGCUGUUGAUAACACAUUGGUGUUCCAGUUGUUGCUGAAGAGUGCUGUACAGAGCCAAGGAUACUUCACCUUUCUGCUUCUCCUACUGUUCUGCUAGCAAGGGAGCUGACCUAAGCCAGCCAAAUGGAUAUUCCAUAGCACGUGACAUCAUGUGGGGAAAAAAAAAAGCUAUAAAACUGAGGGGAGUUGAUUGAGGAAGCCACCACUGCUCAAGGACUGGCUGGGCAUCGGUCAGAGGAUGGUG